UGUUCUUAGGUUUUGGUCUCUUGGUCUUCUGUUUCGGUUACUUACAACCUAGAGCUUCCUACCGCAGAGCUCCAGCUCCCCAUGGGGACGAUGGAGGGGGCUGGAAGUGGCCGCUGAGAGUUCCUGGCAGCCCCCAGCGGCCUCCUGUCCCCACCCAGCCUCACCUCCUCCUACUCCUGUCUGUGCUGGUCUCGCUGCAGAGGUGCCUCCUCCUGCAGGGACAUCCCUGAACCCCAGAGUCCGGUAGAUGCCCCCUCCCAUGCUCGCAUGGCCUCAGUGGGACAGAAAGUCCUCAACCAUUCAUCAAAACCCAAACCCGUGGCAGCUACUGCUCCUGUGGGUGGACAGGCCACGAGCCACCGCAUCCAUAGAGAAAUAAACCUUGGCGGGGAGAGUGGGCCCUGGGGCCUGGAGUCAGGUUAGGGUGAAGGCCAGAGCGAGCUGUAUUGUUCCAAUAAGUGGGAGGGCAGUUGCUCACGAGGAGGACUGGGGACAGAGGUGAGCCCUUGAGUGGCUGGUAGCAAAGCUGGUGGGAACAGGAGCUGCCGACCUUCACUGGCGUGUGCGGCUGUGAUGUAAACCCACACCCACCUCCAUAAACAUUCCAGAAGGUCGGCUUCAUGUCCUGAGGCUUUAUGUAGCUUGGGUUCUGUGGUGAGUGAUGAAAGGAGGUGAGUUUCACGGUGGACUUGGCGGGAGGAGGGAGAGGACAGCUAUAGGAAGGGAUCUGAGGGGUGUACAGAGCUAGUGGGGGCACAGGCCAGGUCGUGGGGAGGCCCCGUAAGCCCCAGGGAAGGUGCAGACACCUUGGGGAAGUAUGAGGAAUGGGGCUCCCGUGGACAUUCAGGGAACAAUAACUUUUGUCACUGCUGCCCGCCAUCUCCUCCCUGUCAGCUUCAUGAAGGCAGGACCCAGCAGGUCUCACUCACCCUCUCCACCCCAGGACUUCCAGAACCAUAGCAAGGCUUGAGCAGCCUUCUGAUCCCACAGCUUUUUGCCUUCGGCCGUGGCCGACAAGAACCCACUUCUCGAAGUGCAUUAUCUACCGCCUGCAUUGUUCUCAGCCAUCCCGCACGGUUGAUGUCUCAUAAAUGCCCCAGUGUGUUCUCUCCAUUUUACAGGUCUGGCCACUGAGUUGCCGAGAGGGAAAGACAUCAACCAGGGAGAGCAGCAGCUGGCAUCGUCCCCCAGGCAGACUGACUCCAAGCCAAAGCCCUUCAUCACCUUCCAGAUGGCUCUCCCUUUGGCUACUCCUGCAUGUCACUGGGUUUUGGUCAGAUUCAUCGCCACUGAGCAGGUCUACCUCCGCGCUCCUGUUGGAUGUCCAUCUCCCUCGCUAGAACAUUUCAUUUAUUUAUUUGGGAGAGGGAGAAAGAGCACGAGCAGGAAAGGAGCAGAGGGAAAAGGACAUACAGAUUCUGCACUGAGCAUGGAUCCUGACAUGGGGCUCCAUCUCAGGACCCUGGGAUCAUGACCUGAGCCAAAAUCCAAGAGUCGGACACCAAGCCAACUGAGCCACCCAGGUACCCCAUGACAUUCUUGAUAAUACCGAAAAAGUAGAAGCAGCUUAAAUGUCUGAUAGUAAGGUAGGGUUAGUUAGAUAGAUUAUUGGCAUACCUACAAGAUGGAUUACUAAGCAGCCAUUACAAAUAUUUGUAAAGAGUGUUUAAUGUUACAAAGAGGUCUUAAUGAUGUGGGAAAAUGGUAGUGAUAUAACACCAGAUGAAAAAAGAAACUGGUUAUAAAAUGGUACAAUAUGAUGCUGAUUGUGGGGGAAAAAAAAUUGCAUGAAGGAAAAUCUGCCACAAGGGCAGCAUGGUCUCAAGUUGGAAAAUUUGUGGGAGAUACAAACAGAAAACGAGAAACUUCUUUAUACUUUCUAUACUUUUAAAAGGUUUACUGGGUAUGUGGAUAACUUCCAUAGUCAAGGAAAAAGUAAAAAACGUUAAAAAUC